rnacentral:rRNA from 1 species
CCCUUAGAUGUUCUGGGCCGCACGCGCGCUACACUGAUAAUGUCAACAAGCUUUACCUUGGCCGAUAGGUCUGGGCAAUCUUCGAACUAUUAUCGUGAUGGGGCUAGAUUAUUGCAACUAUUAAUCUUAAACGAGGAAUUCCUAGUAAGCGCGAGUCAUCAGCUCGCGUUGAUUACGUCCCUGCCCUUUGUACACACCGCCCGUCGCUCCUACCGAUUGGGUGUGCUGGUGAAAUGUUCGGAUCGGCCGUUUGUCGCGGUUUCCGCGUCAUGUGGCUGAGAAGUUCAUUAAACCCUCCCACCUAGAGGAAGGAGAAGUCGUAACA